rnacentral:rRNA from 1 species
AUUGAACGCUGGCGGCAGGCUUAACACAUGCAAGUCGAGCGGUAGCACAGGGGAGCUUGCUCCCUGGGUGACGAGCGGCGGACGGGUGAGUAAUGUCUGGGAAACUGCCUGAUGGAGGGGGAUAACUACUGGAAACGGUAGCUAAUACCGCAUAACGUCGCAAGACCAAAGAGGGGGACCUUCGGGCCUCUUGCCAUCAGUUGUGCCCAGAUGGGAUUAGCUAGUAGGUGGGGUAAUGGCUCACCUAGGCGACGAUCCCUAGCUGGUCUGAGAGGAUGACCAGCCACACUGGAACUGAGACACGGUCCAGACUCCUACGGGAGGCAGCGGUGGGGAAUAUUGCACAAAGGGCGCAAGCCUGAUGCAGCCAUGCCGCGUGUGUGAAGAAGGCCUGCGGGUUGUAAAGCACUUUCAGCGUGGAGGAAGGUGGUGAACUUAAUACGUUCAUCAAUUGACGGUACUUGCAGAAGAAGCACCGGCUAACUCCGUG